rnacentral:tRNA from 1 species
GGAGAGGUGGCAGAGUGGUCGAAUGCGGCGGUCUCGAAAACCGUUAGGCUCGUAAGGGUCUCGUAGGUUCAAAUCCUACCCUCUCCG